UGAUUAUUUAAGGGAGUAUGAAUCGCAUAGCAAUCCCUUGUAGCAGAUUCCCCCAAUAAGAGACAGAUUGAGGGUGAAGUACAACUGAAGGUUUAAUGGUACAGCUGCUUCUUUUAUACAGUAUUUCCCCACAAGGUUACCGCCCACGUGGACCUUGUGGGGCACAGGACAUGAAAUGCACAAUGCAAAUUACAUUUGAACACUCCCAGUUACUGUACACAAACCCUCCCCUCUGCCUGUGAUACAAUUAACAAAGACAAUGGGAUAACUCAAUUAACUUUAG